rnacentral:lncRNA from 1 species
UUUUAUAAUGUCCCUAUGGCAAUGUGUCGAUAAAGUCGGGUACAAUGUAUCGCUUAUCAUCGUACGGACUUAGAGCAAUUUUUGUUUCGGAUAUCGUACUAUUUAUCGUACUUAAUGCAAUUUUAAUCUUAUACAAGCAAGACUGCUGUCAUGUCAUUUCAGUCUCGUCUCGCAAACACUGUGUGUAAUCAUCAAAUGUUAUUGAUUUUGUUAUUACAUUACUCUUGAUGCCUUUGACUUUUUUCAUAUCAUUUUUUCCAUCAACACGCAAGGCGUACAUUUUUGCUCUAAGCCCUACGAAUUCAGUCAUAAUUGUACCAUUGUUUUUGUCCUUCAAACUUGGUAUCAAACUUGGUAUCUUUUUAUUGAGUGAGUGGAAUACCGUAUACAUUAUCAACCGCAUAAUCACUCGUGUCGAAUCUUUUAAUAUCACGUUUCAUGAUAUCGUAUACGUCGUCGCACUCGAUGUGAUAAAUUAAACUGUCGGUAUCCGUGUACAUUAUUUUACAUUUCUCACCAUACAAUGGUGACAUGUAAUCGUAAUGAAAUUCAUACAAACAUGUCUUUGAUAUGUCGAGAAUGCAUAUACCUACAUAGAUUGGUUUGUCGAACUUCACCUCGAGUUUACGCAAUUCGAUUGCGUAACGAUCAAGUUCUCUGAAAAAACGCUUCGACUGUGGAAAUUUGGUUUCGCAAUCAUUGUCUCCGCGCCAUAUCUUCCCUCCCAUUUUGUUAAAAGUUUAACAUUGACGUGAUUGCGCACAUUCUCCAUGGUUUUGCCAAAGACCAUGUUGUUCAUCAAUUUAUAUAAAUUUUUCUCGAAAUCAUUUUUAGCGAAUGUUCUAAAUUUCGUAUUGAGUUCGAUAUACUCCCGGAGCCAUGGAAAUUGCGAAAAUUGCAAUACGCGAUGUAUUUUUGUAACGCGAAGACUGUGACGAAUACAGGUUGCGAUAAUGUAUGACGUAACGUUUCUUAUCGUACAAGGUUGCGAGGAGUUUGUCCUGUCGCUUACUGGGUAGUUUAUCGCGCGUUGGACAAAACGGUAGGUUAAUGUGCGCGUCGUGAAGAUAUUCUGGGUAUUCUAAAUCUACCUCGAGAAUGUAAUCGAUAGGCGAAUCCAGUGGUGUUGCGUUUAUGUUAUAAUUGGACACGUCGACGAUCCAUCGAAAAUUUGCGUAAGGCAAUGAUUGAUACAUUGUCCAAUCAUACAAGUUGUUAACGUCAAAGUACAUAAGGAUUCCAAGUCCGCGUACACGACAAACGGAACUCGUUCUUUAGUGCUAUAAUUAUUGAAACUGAGCCACUUGUUGUCCUCACUCGGUAAUCUGAUGGCACAGUCAUUCAUGUCUGUACAGUCUAUGAUGUGAGCCUCCAAUUUUUCACUCAUGCUAAAAUAGUGUAAACAUCUGCAAGAAACAUAAUUAUUUUAGUUUUUUUUUAAACGAGUAUAAAAUAUUUCUCAACUUAUUAAAAUAUGUAUACUUACCGGUCACAAAAAAAUUUCCUGUGUUCUUUUUUGAGUUGCGAGCCUAUGAGGCGAGAAAGAUUCUUGAGCCAUACGAAAUAUCCCGCGUUAUCGUCCCGCGGAUCCUGCACGUACAGCAGAUUGACAUGCUUUCCCUUCUUUGUAUUGGUAAGACGUGUCGGAAAGAUCGAAAGUUCUUUCUUCUUUUCGAUGCAGUAUACAUUUAUGGAUAUGUUAUUGAGAAAUUCAAACUUUUUAAUUUGGUCCAAUGUCAUCGGAAACUCAAUGUUUUAAAAAUUGAGUACCGACAUAUAAUGUGGAUACGAGGAUUCUCGUUCUGUGUUUCUUUCAAUUGGAUGCAGAGCUGCGAUCACUGACCAUGCAAAACACGCAUUGUCCGUAGACGGUCGUUGAUCACCGCUCUCUUCAUCAUAAUUUCUCGCAGUAACUGAAUGUAACAUUCCGCGUGCAGAGGAUUGUGUUUGUUUAUAUUAAUAAUCAAAUUGAGUCUACGCGAUAAUGCCCACCCGCUAUCGCGUUCCUGAAAUUCUUCCAGGGAUGCCAAGGUAGGCUCAAUAACGCGCAACUCGUACCACUCCUGUAAAUUGGACGAACGAAAGAAUUCACAGUUUCUCGUGUUGACUUUUAUUUGCACAUUUGUCAUUCGCAACAAAUUCACCGUUAAAUACUGUAUUCAUCUUAAUAUUGUUAUGUUUCUGCAUGAUAUUUUGCACACGCUCAAACACAAUGUUCUUCGCAUCCUCGAGAAAUUGGCGAGGUUCGAUGUGCUUCGUAUUAAUGACCGCAUCAGUCAAAAUACGGCUUUCAAACGCCGCAUUAAUCUCGCGCCAUCUGAGGCUGUGCUGUAUCUAGCACCCGCAGUCACGAAUCGUUGGCAUAUCGAAUCUUUCAAACUUUCGAGUCGCGCUAUCCGUGCGACCAAUGAUUGUCUAAUAUUAAUUGAUAAUUGCGGCCGUUUAAUUUGACCAUGCUCUUCUAGCGACUUAAUAUACUUGUCGCAUCGUUGCUCCUACGCGACGUACUCUUCUCUCGAAUUCAAUCAGAUAGAUUGUUCCAAAA